rnacentral:rRNA from 1 species
UACGUAGGGUGCGAGCGUUGUCCGGAAUUAUUGGGCGUAAAGAGCUCGUAGGCGGUUUGUUGCGUCUAUCGUGAAAACCUGCAGCUUAACUGUGGGCUUGCGGUGGAUACGGGCAGACUUGAGUUCGGUAGGGGAGACUGGAAUUCCUGGUGUAGCGGUGAAAUGCGCAGAUAUCAGGAGGAACACCGGUGGCGAAGGCGGGUCUCUGGGCAGUAACUGACGCUGAGAAGCGAAAGCGUGGGGAGCGAACAGG